rnacentral:rRNA from 1 species
UACGGAGGGGGCUAGCGUUGUUCGGAAUUACUGGGCGUAAAGCGCACGUAGGCGGACUGUUAAGUCAGGGGUGAAAUCCUGGAGCUCAACUCCAGAACUGCCUUUGAUACUGAGAAGCUUGAGUCCGGGAGAGGUGAGUGGAACUGCGAGUGUAGAGGUGAAAUUCGUAGGUAUUCGCAAGAACACCAGUGGCGAAGGCGGCUCACUGGCCCGGUACUGACGCUGAGGUGCGAAAGCGUGGGGAGCAAACAGG